rnacentral:misc_RNA from 1 species
GACAACCGCGUCAACUAACUUCGGUGCUCCAGUCAGGAAUUGACGGUUGCGACCGAUGGGGAGAUCCCAGAUGAAAGUCGAGCUGAAGUUGUUCUUAACAUCGUAGGUUGAGAUGGCGCGGUCUGAGCUCAGGGGUGCUCCCAGAGACACCUGACCGCGGGCUUGUCCGGUCGAAAGCACACGGGUGUCGGGGCUCGAGUCUGACGCGUCGUCAAUUCCUUUCCCGUAUGUGUAGUUUGCUGUGAACGUGAGUCCGCGACCGACACGCCUGCGCACGUCGAUGUACCCGGCAUGUCGAAUACUGCUUGCUCCCGCAUUGAAGAAUUUGCU